rnacentral:lncRNA from 1 species
GUGAAACACAAGGGAAGCAAGAAAAUCAGUAAAGAAGCAAAAAAAACGGGUCACUAAGUGUCCCCUGAAUACAUCCUAAGAUCCAUCAACUUUCUGGAUUGGACAGACCUAUAACCGUGGAGUCUUACCUUCAAGACAAAUAAGUUUGUGUCUGAGCUUCGACAUUGUAUGAGAGACUAAAAAGCAAUGAACUGAGGGAUUUUGCACACACUCUCACACAGAAGCAUCAAUAAGUGCCAAUAAAUAACUGAAGUCAUUGUGGAGAGGAGACAAAAAAAAGGUAAAAGGCAGUUCAGGAGACUGAGAAGUCUUGCAACCUAGGAAUACUGAGACCUGAGUUCCGCCUCCAAGACACCGACCGGUUCACACGCAGGUGAAGGGCUGAUAAUCCUAAUGACGGUCUUAGAUCGUAGGAAGAGGCUGGGCGUUUGCUCACAAGACUCCCCGGAGGCAGGCAGAAAUUUAUGUCAUACAUUUCAAAGGGGACUUCCUCCCCAAAAUAGUUUAGAAACAUAACCUGAAGCAAAAAGGUCACAUCUGGAAAUUUUGAUUAUAUGAUUCUUUCCCACACGUUCGUAAACAAAGGAUGCGCAACUUUUCUUUUUUG